AUUGAACGCUGGCGGCAGGCCUAACACAUGCAAGUCGAGCGGAUGAAGGGAGCUUGCUCCUGGAUUCAGCGGCGGACGGGUGAGUAAUGCCUAGGAAUCUGCCUGGUAGUGGGGGAUAACGUCCGGAAACGGGCGCUAAUACCGCAUACGUCCUGAGGGAGAAAGUGGGGGAUCUUCGGACCUCACGCUAUCAGAUGAGCCUAGGUCGGAUUAGCUAGUUGGUGGGGUAAAGGCCUACCAAGGCGACGAUCCGUAACUGGUCUGAGAGGAUGAUCAGUCACACUGGAACUUAGACACGGUCCAGACUCCUACGGGAGGCAGCAGUGGGGAAUAUUGGACAAUGGGCGGAAGCCUGAUCCAGCCAUGCCGCGUGUGUGAAGAAGGUCUUCGGAUUGUAAAGCACUUUAAGUUGGGAGGAAGGGCAGUAAGUUAAUACCUUGCUGUUUUGACGUUACCAACAGAAUAAGCACCGGCUAACUUCGUG
rnacentral:rRNA from 1 species